rnacentral:rRNA from 1 species
UACGAAGGGGGCUAGCGUUGCUCGGAAUCACUGGGCGUAAAGGGUGCGUAGGCGGGUCUUUAAGUCAGGGGUGAAAUCCUGGAGCUCAACUCCAGAACUGCCUUUGAUACUGAAGAUCUUGAGUUCGGGAGAGGUGAGUGGAACUGCGAGUGUAGAGGUGAAAUUCGUAGAUAUUCGCAAGAACACCAGUGGCGAAGGGCGGCUCACUGGCCCGAUACUGACGCUGAGGCACGAAAGCGUGGGGAGCAAACAGG